UAAGUGAACAGUGGAUUCUUCGUUACAUAAGCUUAAAUGUUUAACGUAACUUACGAGUUACCAUGGCAAAAAUGUUUAACGUAACUUACGAAUGAUGCAAGUUUUGUUUCAACGGUUACUUUGAAUUUUGCUAUGAAACAGCAAGUUUAACUGAAACCAACAUGAUUGCUCUCUAGUUUCAAGCAACACCGCGAGGUCUCAAGAUGGACGCUGCAAUGUGGAAUCAACGCUGGGCUGGAGAAGCUCGACCCAGUCUUUUUUUGAGGUCAGUGGGUGUACCCCGGCGUCCCCCAAUCGGGACAGACUUGGUUACAUUGCUAAGACCACUGUGUUUAAGGCGCAAUGUAGCUGCAUAGGUCAAUAAGCGAUCUGGCAGAAGCCUUAAUCAGACAGCUUCUUCAUUCCAAAACCAAAACUCCAGUCCAAAAGCUCUGUACAUACAUUUAAAUUUCUGGUGCGCGAACUAUGUCCAAUUUGCAGGUUUAAGGAAUUAAUUGAUGUAAAAAACUUCCACCAUCAGGCAAAAAAAAGAACAAAUCCUAUUGAUAUAUCAAUAGUGUUUCAUCACUUUUUUUGAAAAUCUUUGAAAAGGGCAUUUAGAGUAAUUUAGAGGACGCUGCAUCUAAAACUUUUUCGGGAACCCCUUCACCCCUGCCCGCCACAAAUAUUUCCGGUUUGCCCCUCCAGAUGUUGGAACGCCCCUAAGAGACCAAGAAACGAAGAAUGAGUUAAAUGGAGUCAUCGGGCUAAACAUCGAACUAUGUUCUAUUUCCUAUAUAUUAGGGUACUGAAUAGGAAGCAACUUAAUAGAAGACCUUCACCCCACAACCCCCACGCCCCCCGCCCCCCCAUAAAGAUAAAUUUUAUCGGACGACGCUGUUAAAUAAAGAACCCUAAUGACUGCGCAUUCAGGAAUAUUUCCUCUUCGCAGCCCCCUGGAGCAUCCCCCUCUGAACUUUAGAUUAACAGAGCCAGAUACAUGCAAGUCAAAUAAGUGCUGAUCAGUCCUUAACCCCCACUCCAUCUCUGAGAUAAGCAGGCGGAAAGCCAAAAAGUUGACAAAUCCAUAAUAACGAAUGCUACAUACCGACAUCAGGAAAUUCCCGAUAGUUCUUUCCUCGUGUUUUCUGUUGUUCAUCAGGAACUCGUAAUCUAUCCUCGCUAGUCUUCCACGAAACACUAGAAUAAUGGAAUGAGAAAACGUAACAAGGAAAUCGAGUCAGACCACCGCAAGAUUAGAAGCAAUCAUUAAAAGUAUCAGGCAAGAAUCGAGGAGUUGGUUGCGAAAGAUCAAAAUAAACAGUUCGAUAUUAAUGACACGAUUAUUCAAAAUGCUGUACAAAAGAUCUCAAAUUACAAAGGGUUAAGUCAUUUCCUUGUAUUUCCUUCUUCCAAGAUCAGUCAACAUUUAAAGUAAAAUCUCGUAGGAUUUCAUAACAAACAGAGCAGUAACAAUGGGUGUUGCCAUGAGGUCCUUUGAGAGGUUUGAGAGCGUUGCGACGAUCGAACUAAAGAUAACGGUGUAUUAUAUAAGCUUCACAGUGGCUUACUUAUCACCGCUUUGAAACAAUAGCGCCCAUUCUAAAUUACAAUGUUCCCUGAGCGCCUAUUGAACGUCACUUAGGUACACGGGCGUGUAUUUUAGUCAGCGAGUUAGUCACCAAAUAAUUUCAACGUGGAUAGUUAGGCGUUCAUCAAUCACAAAAGAAUGCACAGACUUGAAAUUUUUCAAUUACACGGACUUGAAACACAAGAACAUAAAAUAACAUUUAACAGAAGACCUGAUAAGCCCACAGUAAGAAUUUGUUAAUCUUAUACUCAUAUGGAACUUUUGAAACUACACUGAUCGGGGCUUAAGACUAUCCUUGGAAAACAACCAGGACCAGGAAGAGGGUUUUCGCGAACAAGUUGUCAGAUGUGGGAAUCAAAGAAAAUUUUGAAAACAAUUACACUCUUUCUUUGAAACAAAACACUUAAACGUAACCCUGGGGCUCGAUUUGCCAAAAAAUAAAGACAACGUAAGAACACGCAUAGCCAGAAUUGCACACUCUAUAUCUCAGAUUUUAACAAAACAGAUCAGAUUUUAUCAGUUAAUCAACCUUUCUAAUGAAAAUUUCAUACAAAACUGUUAUCCAGUAGUCAUAGAAACAGUGUAAAGUAUGUACUUAAAGAAAAAUCAGUGCUGAAGUAAGAACAAAGAGCAAAAAGCCAACCCAAAAAGCAAGAAAAUCGAGCCGCGGUAGAAAUUGUUGGUUCUCAUAAAAGAUAGUGCAGGGGAAUUAUGAAAAAAGCUUUGAAGAGUGGGCGAUUAUGAGUCACUUUGCAACAAUCUAAAUUCGCACAAAAGGUUAAAUCUGUAGAAUUUUAAGGAUGUCUCAAGCUUAAUUGCAAAUAGUUGAAGAUAGCAUGCAAAAGCGGAAAAAUAGCACGAUGAUUCAAGGAUUCGUCAUUUAAUUAUUUAUCUCAGUUUUUUCAAUGUAUCAGAUUUCAAGGAAGCACUUUGAUCACACAUUGUCCGGUGAACCGAUGCAGGCAUAAAAAUAAACAAAGAAAAACUCACUUUUCUGAACAGUGACGACGUCCCUCUUCACCUUUUCUAAAUGGCUGUCCAGCUCAUUCUCGUGUCGGUGUUUCAGAAAUACCUAGAGGACAAAGACAAAUUUAAAUGGGCGGGCAUCUCUCGGUUUCCAAAACGUCAAUGCGGGUGACAUUCGCGUGACAAUUUUCUGAUGACGGCAUUCAAGCGUGAAAUUCGGAGUAGCAGCUUGCACAAAGUGUGUACGGUACUACCAAGACGGCAUCCAGCAGUAUUUCACUGACCGAUGCCGAAACAUGUUAACAAGAAUGCUGAAAUUCAAGUUUAGAAGACAGUGACCAGAGAAAAAAGACCACAGUAGGAGGGAAGAGAAAAGGACAGAGAAGGAGUGAAGGAAAGAUGACAGCGGGGUAAGGAAGGAGAGGGGAAGGAGAAGAAAAGAAGAGGAAAUAGAUGAAAUUGAACAUCAUCAGGGGAGAACAGGAAAUGGGAUGGAUGGGAAAGUAUGAAACGGUCCUCACUAAACCACCUUUUGUCUGUUAGCAUAAAUUUCAGCGAAACAAUGCCCUGUCAAAUUUUAUUCAACUUGGAUGACUAUUAAUAAAUACUAUGUAUACAAUGAGGCAGGUAUAUAUUAAAUAAAUGACAAAGAUCAAAUGAAUAGGUAUAGUUCGAAAAAGCCUGAUGAAUAUUUUGGAUACCUUCUAAACAAUUUGUCGCAGUUAUGACAAGCAUACUAUAAAUCCAAAAAAAUAAACUUGCAACGGAAUUAUACGCAUGGAUAGAUUGCUGAACAUUUCUUAUAAUAUCAUUUUUCAAACUUGCCUACAGAUCUGGUUGUAGAGUUUGCCUUAAAGACUCAUUGCUAACAAUGAGCCAUUGAGCCACGUAAGCGUCCCAUAAUGCAUUUUUGGACAGUCUGAAAUCAAUUUUGGUUAAUCCGUAGAAGUUUACUGCCAUUGUUUGGACCGUCACCCCGCUCGCAAAGGCCCAUUGUUAGCAAUGAGUCUUUAAAGUGCACUUUAGCGAGGCUUGGUAUGAUAAGGGUCGGCAUGGAAAAGAAAGAAAAAAAAGGCAUUGAAAGGAAUAAGGAAGCUGAAACAGAGUGGCAGAAAUGGAGGGAAGAUCGAUAGUGCUAAGUAAAAGAAGGAGUUGGAAAAAGGGGCUGGAAUAUGGGAUGGAUGGAAAAUGAAAUGAAAAGAAAGAAAUUAAAGCAAAGAAAGGGGAAAGAAGAAAAGAGCAAUUUUGAAAAAUGUUGAAAUAAGAAUAGAUGUACCUUUUAGACAGUCGAUAAUAUGACUACUAAUUGUUGCUCUGUUUUUCUGAAGAAAACCAUCCACAAAGUAAUGAACCUAAAAAAAAUUCGACUAAACUAAAAACUAUGCUUCUGCUAAAUUCGUAUGGAAAAAGUAAAAACACGGAAGACAAAUGUAUGAAACACUGAGUUUCUGUAGAAACAAGUACUAUCACGGAGUAAUAGAAACCAGUUUGUAUACAAUCAAAUUGGCUUCAGUUGAAAAUGGCAACUGACUUAACAGUGGACUAGACGACUAGGCCUUGAUUUUCGAAGUUCGAUCUUUAAAUAAAAUAUGCUGUUUUAUUGAUAUCAAAAAUGAUUAUAUCAAAAAGAUGUGUAUAAUAUUUUUUCAUCUCCUCCGCUGCUUUGACGUCAUCGUAUUUCAUUUAAUACGCGGAAGUUGUACCCUCUAUUUUCUAUCUAGUUGUUAGAUGCGGAAUGUUUGAUGAAGAAACAACAGAGUCGUUCCUUGUCAGACGGUUGACAAUAAUAACAGGCUCAUCUAUACAGUGUUGCUAUUACUAUCAAGUGAAGCAUCAAAUCUCAAAAAUCAGGUUAAACUAAAUCAGGUUAAACAAUUCCUCUUGGAUGUAAAUUGAAAAAUCAUUUCUAAGCACACCCUUUACUGAAAAGCAGAUUAAAAACAACUUCAAAUAGUAAGACAUAAGAUGUCUAACCAUGGCAUUGCGAAGGACAGGUACAGAGAAAACUCGAUAUACCACAUACCUUCC